GCCGCGCCGUCAACAAAGAGCCGCGGCCGCACCGCUCCGUUCCGUUCCGUUCCGUUCCGUUCCGUUCCGCCCGUCCGCCCCGUCGGGGCCGCCGCGCCCGGUGCGGCGCUCGCAGCGCUGGCAGCCACGGAGCCGCGCUCCCACGGCGCUUCUCUGCGCGCUCCCGCGGCUGUUCGGGCUUUUCCAACAGCGGCGGCGGGGAGCGGAGCUUCAGAGGUGGCCAUUGAUUAAUCUGUGAGAUUAGUUGCAGGGAGAAAUAAAAAAGACGUAAA
rnacentral:lncRNA from 1 species